rnacentral:rRNA from 1 species
CCCUGGUAGUCCACGCCGUAAACGAUGAGUGCUAAGUGUUAGAGGGUUUCCGCCUUUUAGUGCUGCAGCAAACGCAUUAAGCACUCCGCCUGGGGAGUACGGUCGCAAGACUGAAACUCAAAGGAAUUGACGGGGGCCCGCACAAGCGGUGGAGCAUGUGGUUUAAUUCGAAGCAACGCGAAGAACCUUACCAGGUCUUGACAUCCUCUGACAACCCUAGAGAUAGGGCUUCCCCUUCGGGGGCAGAGUGACAGGUGGUGCAUGGUUGUCGUCAGCUCGUGUCGUGAGAUGUUGGGUUAAGUCCCGCAACGAGCGCAACCCUUGAUCUUAGUUGCCAGCAUUCAGUUGGGCACUCUAAGGUGACUGCCGGUGACAAACCGGAGGAAGGUGGGGAUGACGUCAAAUCAUCAUGCCCCUUAUGACCUGGGCUACACACGUGCUACAAUGGGCAGAACAAAGGGCAGCGAAGCCGCGAGGCUAAGCCAAUCCCACAAAUCUGUUCUCAGUUCGGAUCGCAGUCUGCAACUCGACUGCGU